rnacentral:lncRNA from 1 species
AGCUCCUGACUUGUGGCAUGGGACCAGUGCACCUCCAGCCAUUGUGGCCAUUUGGGGAGUCAAGCAGCAGACGGAAGACCCGUCUCUCAGUCUCUCGCUCUCUCAGUAACUCUGACUCAAAUAAAUAAAUAAAUGCAUCAUUUAAAGAAAGAAAUAAGGUUUUUGUGUGUAUCGCUCAGAGCAGACGGCAUGUGAUUUAUUUGUUUCAACAAGCACCCUUUUCAGAGCACACACAUGAUGUGGCUGAUGAUUUACAGCAGCACUGCAGCCUCACACGGAUGCAUCUUCCCUAUCCAGCCCAGUAGCUUCCCCUGAGAGUGGACUUGCAGAAUCAAAGGACAACUUGGUAAAUCCUGUUUACUCAGGAAUGCAUCAGAGAUGUUAAUGCCUGUGAUGACCUGGGCCAGGAUCUGAUUAGGAUUAGGCACUGUUUUUUUUCUAUUUUUACUCUCUAAUACAUUUUGUUUUUAAGGUUGAGCUGGGAAACUGAGUGUCUAGUUUAAAUGGCAGUAGGUUUCCUACUUCGAGUUACAAAACUUUGAAUUGUGUACUCAGAAAUGUUAAGGGUGCUUAAUGACAGAACAUGAAAAUAGGGAUGAUGAAGGUUCUGCUUGAUUGGCUUAGGUGUAGGCAGCACAUGCCUUAGGGUGGGGCCCUGUGGGUGGAGCCUGUGUCCUGAGCACUAUAAAAGGCCAGAGACUCAGAGCUCCAAGUCCCUUCAGGGAGGAGCCCAGAGCAGGAGAGGUGAGGGAUCUGGCAGGGGCCUCUCAGACCUCCAAGCAAGUCUCCAGCUCAAGGUGACCAGCGCCAUACUGACUGGGGUGGAGACUGCAUCCUAUCAAGGUCUCAUGGAACACCCACCUGGGCUCAGUUCCCACACAGAGACACGCUAGUCAGAGCAGACAGCGACUCCUGGGAGAGACCCCAAACAAGACCCCACACAAGGUAAGCUGCCUUGUGGCAAUGACAAUCUCUCCUGUCCUCUUUCUUGACAUCACUUGGAUUUCGGGGAGUUUUUGAGUGUUUCCAUUACAAGUGAUUCCAUUACUAGGACUCUCUGUGGACUGGAUGUCACCUCCAUGUUUCUGCAUCCAUUUAUGUUCUUUAAUUUGCAUUGAUUUAGAUACAUCCUGAUCACUGCAGAGCAGACGGUGCACUGAGGGCUCCUGACCAACUCCAGAAGCUGCUAAAGGGAACUGACACCAGGUCACUGCCAAGGCCUGC